rnacentral:tRNA from 1 species
CGGGCAAUAGCUCAACGGUGGAGCUUUCGCCUCAUAUGCGAAAAAGACCCGGGUUCGAAUCUCGGCUGCUUUG